CAUCCGGUCGAUCCUGCCGGAGCGCGACGCUCUCCCCAAGGACGAAGCCAUGCAUGCCCGCUCACCCGGGACGCGGCGGACGGCUCAGGACAACGGUUGCACCCCCCGCGGCGGUCCCUGCUAGCCGGACACCGCUGGCAACCCGGCGCCAAGACGUGCGCGCAAGGACGGGCGCCCGCGGGCGAGCAGCCUGACGCAG
rnacentral:rRNA from 1 species